CCCUAAUAAUAAAAACGCGAGCAGAUAUGUCAUAACCAGAAUCGAACAAUCGUCAUCGCAUAUGUUCCAAAUCGAAGGAACCGGAUGUCGUCCCGACACGAUGCGUAAGAAUUACUUUUUAAUCAAAAUAGUCUCGUAUUAAUAAAACAUAAUGCGUUGUGUAAUAUAUCUUGUGACCGAAAACCAGUAAUGCACGGUGUAAAAACCAGUACUCCCUCCGAUGCAUAAUAAGUGUUGAGGAUCUAGUACAAAGUCAGUACAAAUUUGUAUUGAAUCUUCGAGACUUGUUAUGGAUCGGAGUCAGUAGUAUAGAUCUGAGGCGAACUGAAAACAAGGACAAACCCGGAAAGCAAGGGAAUCUAACUGAUGGAUGGCAUUAUUUAUCCCAAUAAAAAAAAACUGAUGGAUGGCAUAUGGAUGCAUGACGAGGCUAGCUAUAGCUUGAUGGAUGGAUGCUCAUUUGGGACAGGCACACCUUCCGGUGCAAUAGGACAUGCAGGGCGGUUGAGCCCUAUGGCACCCCGCGCAUUCCAUGUCCGAGCGCCCGCACGCGGCUACGCAGCUGCAGGUGCUCGAGCUGCACACUUGGUAGCAUUCCUGCUCGCAGCUCGUCGUCUCCUGCGCGUUCAGUGUCACGGCCGCCAGCAGCAGCAGCAGCACUACGCACAAGACUACAACGGAGGACGCUUUGGCCGCGGAAGCCAUUUUGGCUGGGGAGCUAGCUAGCUAGAUCGAGAGCACGGAGAAGAUGAAU
rnacentral:lncRNA from 1 species